rnacentral:rRNA from 1 species
UCGCCGCAGCCGAACGACCGAGCGCAGCGAGUCAGUGAGCGAGGAAGCGGAAGAGCGCCCAUUACGCAAACCGCCUCUCCCCGCGCGUUGGCCGAUUCAUUAAUGCAGCUGGCACGACAGGUUUCCCGACUGGAAAGCGGGCAGUGAGCGCAACGCAAUUAAUGUGAGUUAGCUCACUCAUUAGGCACCCCAGGCUUUACACUUUAUGCUUCCGGCUCGUAUGUUGUGUGGAAUUGUGAGCGGAUAACAAUUUCACACAGGAAACAGCUAUGACCAUGAUUACGCCAAGCUAUUUAGGUGACACUAUAGAAUACUCAAGCUAUGCAUCCAACGCGUUGGGAGCUCUCCCAUAUGGUCGACCUGCAGGCGGCCGCACUAGUGAUUAGAGUUUGAUCCUGGCUCAGGAUGAACGCUAGCGGCAGGCUUAACACAUGCAAGUCGAGGGGUAUAAGUCUUCGGAUUUAGAGACCGGCGCACGGGUGCGUAACGCGUAUGCAAUCUACCUUUCACAGAGGGAUAGCCCAGAGAAAUUUGGAUUAAUACCUCAUAGUAUAGUACCUUGGCAUCAAGGAACUAUUAAAGAUUUAUCGGUGAAAGAUGAGCAUGCGUCCCAUUAGCUAGAUGGUAAGGUAACGGCUUACCAUGGCUACGAUGGGUAGGGGUCCUGAGAGGGAGAUCCCCCACACUGGUACUGAGACACGGACCAGACUCCUACGGGAGGCAGCAGUGAGGAAUAUUGGUCAAUGGGCGCAAGCCUGAUCCAGCCAUGCCGCGUGCAGGAAGAAGGUCCUAUGGAUUGUAAACUGCUUUUAUACAGGAAGAAACACCUCUACGUGUAGAGACUUGACGGUACUGUAUGAAUAAGGACCGGCUAACUCCGUGCCAGCAGCCGCGGUAAUACGGAGGGUCCAAGCGUUAUCCGGAAUCAUUGGGUUUAAAGGGUCCGUAGGCGGCCAAAUAAGUCAGUGGUGAAAGCCCAUCGCUCAACGAUGGAACGGCCAUUGAUACUGUUUGGCUUGAAUUAUUAGGAAGUAACUAGAAUAUGUAGUGUAGCGGUGAAAUGCUUAGAGAUUACAUGGAAUACCAAUUGCGAAGGCAGGUUACUACUAAUAUAUUGACGCUGAUGGACGAAAGCGUGGGGAGCGAACAGGAUUAGAUACCCUGGUAGUCCACGCCGUAAACGAUGGAUACUAGCUGUUCGGAGCAAUCUGAGUGGCUAAGCGAAAGUGACAAGUAUCCCACCUGGGGAGUACGCACGCAAGUGUGAAACUCAAAGGAAUUGACGGGGGCCCGCACAAGCGGUGGAGCAUGUGGUUUAAUUCGAUGAUACGCGAGGAACCUUACCAAGGCUUAAAUGUAGUUUGACCGAUUUGGAAACAGAUCUUUCGCAAGACAAAUUACAAGGUGCUGCAUGGUUGUCGUCAGCUCGUGCCGUGAGGUGUCAGGUUAAGUCCUAUAACGAGCGCAACCCCUGUUGUUAGUUGCCAGCGAGUCAUGUCGGGAACUCUAACAAGACUGCCAGUGUAAACUGUGAGGAAGGUGGGGAUGACGUCAAAUCAUCACGGCCCUUACGCCUUGGGCCACACACGUGCUACAAUGGACGGUACAGAGAGCAGCCACUGGGUGACCAGGAGCGAAUCUACAAAACCCGUUCUCAGUUUCGGAUCGGAGUCUGCAACUCGACUCCGUGAAGCUGGGAAUCGCUAGUAAUCGGAUAUCAGCCAUGAUCCGGUGAAUACGUUCCCGGGCCUUUGUACACACCGCCCGUCAAGCCAUGGAAGCUGGGGGUGCCUGA